rnacentral:rRNA from 1 species
GGUUAAGUUAGAAAGGGCGCACGGUGGAUGCCUUGACACUAGGAGUCGAUGAAGGACGGGACUAACGCCGAUAUGCUUCGGGGAGCUGUAAGUAAGCUUUGAUCCGAAGAUUUCCGAAUGGGGAAACCCACCAUACGUAAUGGUAUGGUAUCCUUAUCUGAAUACAUAGGGUAAGGAAGACAGACCCAGGGAACUGAAACAUCUAAGUACCUGGAGGAAGAGAAAGCAAAUGCGAUUUCCUGAGUAGCGGCGAGCGAAACGGAACAUAGCCCAAACCAAGAGGCUUGCCUCUUGGGGUUGUAGGACAUUCUAUACGGAGUUACAAAGGAACGAGGUAGACGAAGCGACCUGGAAAGGUCCGUCGUAGAGGGUAACAACCCCGUAGUCGAAACUUCGUUCUCUCUUGAAUGUAUCCUGAGUACGGCGGAACACGUGAAAUUCCGUCGGAAUCUGGGAGGACCAUCUCCCAAGGCUAAAUACUCCCUAGUGAUCGAUAGUGAACCAGUACCGUGAGGGAAAGGUGAAAAGCACCCCGGAAGGGGAGUGAAAGAGAUCCUGAAACCGUGUGCCUACAAAUAGUCAGAGCCCGUUAAUGGGUGAUGGCGUGCCUUUUGUAGAAUGAACCGGCGAGUUACGAUCCCGUGCGAGGUUAAGCUGAAGAGGCGGAGCCGCAGCGAAAGCGAGUCUGAAUAGGGCGUUUAGUACGUGGUCGUAGACCCGAAACCAGGUGAUCUACCCAUGUCCAGGGUGAAGUUCAGGUAACACUGAAUGGAGGCCCGAACCCACGCACGUUGAAAAGUGCGGGGAUGAGGUGUGGGUAGCGGAGAAAUUCCAAUCGAACCUGGAGAUAGCUGGUUCUCCCCGAAAUAGCUUUAGGGCUAGCCUUAAGUGUAAGAGUCUUGGAGGUAGAGCACUGAUUGGACUAGGGGUCCUCAUCGGAUUACCGAAUUCAGUCAAACUCCGAAUGCCAAUGACUUAUCCUUAGGAGUCAGACUGCGAGUGAUAAGAUCCGUAGUCAAAAGGGAAACAGCCCAGACCGCCAGCUAAGGUCCCAAAGUGUGUAUUAAGUGGAAAAGGAUGUGGAGUUGCUUAGACAACUAGGAUGUUGGCUUAGAAGCAGCCACCAUUUAAAGAGUGCGUAAUAGCUCACUAGUCGAGUGACUCUGCGCCGAAAAUGUACCGGGGCUAAAUACACCACCGAAGCUGCGGAUUGAUACCAAUGGUAUCAGUGGUAGGGGAGCGUUCUAAGGACAGUGAAGUCAGACCGGAAGGACUGGUGGAGUGCUUAGAAGUGAGAAUGCCGGUAUGAGUAGCGAAAGACGGGUGAGAAUCCCGUCCACCGAAUGCCUAAGGUUUCCUGAGGAAGGCUCGUCCGCUCAGGGUUAGUCAGGACCUAAGCCGAGGCCGACAGGCGUAGGCGAUGGACAACAGGUUGAUAUUCCUGUACCACCUCUUUAUCGUUUGAGCAAUGGAGGGACGCAGAAGGAUAGAAGAAGCGUGCGAUUGGUUGUGCACGUCCAAGCAGUUAGGCUGAUAAGUAGGCAAAUCCGCUUAUCGUAAAGGCUGAGCUGUGAUGGGGAAGCUCCUUAUGGAGCGAAGUCUUUGAUUUCCCGCUGCCAAGAAAAGCUUCUAGCGAGAUAAAAGGUGCCUGUACCGCAAACCGACACAGGUAGGCGAGGAGAGAAUCCUAAGGUGUGCGAGAGAACUCUGGUUAAGGAACUCGGCAAAAUGACCCCGUAACUUCGGGAGAAGGGGUGCUUUCUUAACGGAAAGCCGCAGUGAAUAGGCCCAAGCGACUGUUUAGCAAAAACACAGCUCUCUGCGAAGCCGUAAGGCGAAGUAUAGGGGGUGACACCUGCCCGGUGCUGGAAGGUUAAGGAGAGGGGUUAGCGUAAGCGAAGCUCUGAACUGAAGCCCCAGUAAACGGCGGCCGUAACUAUAACGGUCCUAAGGUAGCGAAAUUCCUUGUCGGGUAAGUUCCGACCCGCACGAAAGGUGUAACGAUUUGGGCACUGUCUCAACCAGAGACUCGGUGAAAUUAUAGUACCUGUGAAGAUGCAGGUUACCCGCGACAGGACGGAAAGACCCCGUGGAGCUUUACUGUAGCCUGAUAUUGAAUUUUGGUACAGUUUGUACAGGAUAGGCGGGAGCCAUUGAAACCGGAGCGCUAGCUUCGGUGGAGGCGCUGGUGGGAUACCGCCCUGACUGUAUUGAAAUUCUAACCUACGGGUCUUAUCGACCCGGGAGACAGUGUCAGGUGGGCAGUUUGACUGGGGCGGUCGCCUCCUAAAGUGUAACGGAGGCGCCCAAAGGUUCCCUCAGAAUGGUUGGAAAUCAUUCGUAGAGUGCAAAGGCAUAAGGGAGCUUGACUGCGAGACCUACAAGUCGAGCAGGGACGAAAGUCGGGCUUAGUGAUCCGGUGGUUCCGCAUGGAAGGGCCAUCGCUCAACGGAUAAAAGCUACCCCGGGGAUAACAGGCUUAUCUCCCCCAAGAGUCCACAUCGACGGGGAGGUUUGGCACCUCGAUGUCGGCUCAUCGCAUCCUGGGGCUGUAGUCGGUCCCAAGGGUUGGGCUGUUCGCCCAUUAAAGCGGUACGCGAGCUGGGUUCAGAACGUCGUGAGACAGUUCGGUCCCUAUCCGUCGUGGGCGUAGGAAAUUUGAGAGGAGCUGUCCUUAGUACGAGAGGACCGGGAUGGACGCACCGCUGGUGUACCAGUUGUUCUGCCAAGGGCAUAGCUGGGUAGCUAUGUGCGGAAGGGAUAAGUGCUGAAAGCAUCUAAGCAUGAAGCCCCCCUCAAGAUGAGAUUUCCCAUAGCGUAAGCUAGUAAGAUCCCUGAAAGAUGAUCAGGUUGAUAGGUUCGAGGUGGAAGCAUGGUGACAUGUGGAGCUGACGAAUACUAAUAGAUCGAGGACUUAACCAU